rnacentral:tRNA from 1 species
GUAUUGGUGGUUUACUGGUAACAUCCUUGCCUUCCAUGCUAGAGACCUGGGUUCAAUUCCUGGACAACACG